rnacentral:rRNA from 1 species
UACGUAGGGGGCAAGCGUUGUCCGGAAUUAUUGGGCGUAAAGAGCGUGUAGGCGGUCCGGUAAGUCAGCUGUGAAAGUCAAGGGCUCAACCCUUGAAUGCCGGUUGAUACUGUCGGGCUAGAGUCCGGAAGAGGCGAGUGGAAUUCCCGGUGUAGCGGUGAAAUGCGUAGAUAUCGAGAGGAACACCUGCGGCGAAGGCGGGUAGCUGGGCCGACACUGACGCUGAGGCGCGAAAGUGUGGGGAGCGAACAGG